rnacentral:lncRNA from 1 species
UGCUUGAGAGGCUGAGGCAAGUAGAUCACAAACUAAAGGCCAACCUGGGCUCCUUAAAAACCAGCCUGGACUUCUUGGUGAGACACUGCCUCAAAGCAAAAAACCAGCAAAACUUAUUUAGAACCUUCUGCACAGUCUUUCAAUGUUUAAAAUCUAAACUGUAUGUGGACUUGUUUAAGUAAUUUAACUAUUUUAUGGUGAAAAUAACUAAUGAUUAUAGUCAGUUUGGAAAAAUAAGUGUUAAAUCUUGAUUACCAAAAUAUGUUGUAAUAUUUUCAUAAAAUAGUAUUUUCAUUUGUAAUAUGGUUUAGUAACAUCCUUGUUGUUUGCCAACAAAAUUAUUUUUGGCUGUGAAAAUUCUCUUUGCUUGCAGUAUCUGUUUCUCUUCCUAGGCUCUCGGUGGUGACCCAAGCCUAUUGUAAACAAGUGAUUAUCUCAAAGGGAGAUGCCAGUGGAGUAACAGUUGCUAACGUUACAUUUUCUGUCUGUAUAUGUUUUUAAAAAUUGGUAGUUUCUGGAAAAAAGAGAAAGGGGUUUUCCUUUGGAAUAUGGAUAAAUACACCAUGAUAAGGAGACUGGAAGGGCAUCACCAUGAUGUCGUAGCUUGUGACUUUUCUCCUGAUGGAGCAUUACUAGCUACUGCGUCUUACGAUACGCGUGUGUAUGUCUGGGACCCACACAUUGGAGACACUCUGAUGGAGUUUGGGCACCUGUUUC